GACAGAGGGUGCAACGUUGUUCGGAAUUACUGGCGUAAAGCGCGUGUAGGCGGCUAAGUAAGUCGGGCGUGAAAUCCCACGGCUCAAACCGUGGAAGUGCACUCGAAACUGCAUAGCUAGAGUCCUGGAGAGGAAGGUGGAAUGCUUGGUGUAGAGGUGAAAUUCGUAGAUAUCAAGCGGAAACACCGGUGGCGAAGGCGGC
rnacentral:rRNA from 1 species